CAGCAGCCGCGGUAAUACGAAGGGGGCUAGCGUUGCUCGGAAUCACUGGGCGUAAAGCGCACGUAGGCGGACUCUUAAGUCGGUGGUGAAAUCCUGGAGCUCAACUCCAGAACUGCCUUCGAUACUGGGAGUCUCGAGUUCGGGAGAGGUGAGUGGAACUGCGAGUGUAGAGGUGAAAUUCGUAGAUAUUCGCAAGAACACCAGUGGCGAAGGCGGCUCACUGGCCCGAUACUGACGCUGAGGUGCGAAAGCGUGGGGAGCAAACAGGAUUAGAUACCCCCGUAGUCCCUGUCUCUUAUAC
rnacentral:rRNA from 1 species